UCGAACGCUGGCGGCAUGGCUAAGGCAUGCAAGUCGAACGAAAAUUAUUGGUGCUUGCAUCGAUGAUAAAAGUGGCAAACGGGAGAGUAACACAUUGGUAACUUACCUUGUACUCGUGAACAACUAUUGGAAACGAUAGCUAAUACACGAUAUGGAUGGGGGGUCGCAAGACAUUCCCAUUGAAAGAUUUAUCGGUACAAGAAGGGCCUAUGUUCUAUCAGCUAGUUGGUGAGGUAAUGGCUCACCAAGGCUAUGACGGAUACCGGGCGUGAGAGCGUGACCCGGCUCACUGGGACUGAGACACUGCCCAGACACCUACGGGUGGCUGCAGUCGCGAAUCUUCCACAAUGCACGAAAGUGUGAUGGAGCAAUGCCGCGUGCCGGAUGAAGGCCUUCGGGUCGUAAACGGCUGUUCUGAGGGACGAACGAUGACGGUACCUCAGCAGAAAGGGGUUGCUAACUCUGU
rnacentral:rRNA from 1 species